AGUUGGUGAAUUCGCCUAAGGCUCUAAUGGCAGUUCCUUGUCGUAUUCUUGUGACUUUUACAUAUGUUUGACGUUGUAUCAAAAUGAACAGGUGGCCACGCGGGACAGACCCUAAAGCCAAGGUUCUUUCUGACCUUAUCAUGAGGCUGAUCCUUGGAGCGCAGGGAGGCGGCCGCAGGGUGAACAGUGCCCUCUGUGUAGGCUCCGGAGCAGAAUGGUCAUCAUGGACAGGCCGCCGGCUGCUGGGCUGUGACUGUUCUGAGGCUGAAAUGGGCAAACAGCCUUGCCUCCUCUCCACCUGCAGCUGCAAGCCUGGACAGUCGAGGCACCCCGGGAACCUCCCCUACGCUCAUGUCUUGCUCGUGCAUUUCUGAGCUCCCCGGCAGUUCAGCCUCCCUUGUAUUAAAUCCUGACAGGAAGCUUGGAUUAAGACCUCGGUAGUGCUAAAGCCGUUGCUCUCUGAACCCAUGCUCAUGGGGGAUGAAUCUUGUCUCCCCAAAAGAUAUGUUCGAGUCCUAAGCCCUGGUUCCUACAAACGUGACCAGUUUGGAAACAGGGUCUUCGCAGAUGUAAAAAGUUAAGGAUAUCAUGAUGAGAUCAUCUUGGAUUUAGUAUGGGCCUGAAAUCCGGUGCCUGGCAUCCUUAUGGGAGAAAGGAGAGGCUUGCAAAGAUGGAGGUGGGGCUGGGCGAUGCUGAGGACACCCGGAGUCACCAGAAGCAGAAGCGCCGAGGAGGGAUCUCCCUGGAGCGAGCAGCUCUGAGGGAGCGCAGGCCUACACCUCAAUCUUGGACUCUGGCUUCCGGAACCAUGAGGGAACAAGUGUCUUGUUUUAAGCUGCAGCCCAGGAAUCCGCCUCCCUGUGGCUCACCAGUCCCCUUGGGCACAUCUUCCCUCUCCUAAUGGGGUAAAAUCAGGGGCAAUGUGCUGUGACCUGUGGCUUUGGGGGUGCUCUCAGGAGCGGCCUGGGGCUGAGCAGGCAGGGAGCCUCUACCUGUACCUACUGUGCCUGCUCCCUGUGAGGGCUGGGAUGCCCCCCCGAUGCUGAGCAGGUGCCAGGAAUGUUGAUGGAUGGAUGGAUGGAGAGAGGGAUGUUGAUGGACGGAUGGAUGGAGGGAGGGAUGUUGAUGGACGGAUGGAUGGAGGGAGGGAUGUUGAUGGACGGAUGGAUGGAGGGAUGUUGAUGGACGGAUGGAUGGAGGAAGGGAUGUUGAUGGACGGAUGGAUGGAGGGAGGGAUGUUGAUGGACAGAUGGAGGGAGGGAGGAAUGUUGAUAGACAGAUGGAUGAAGGGAGGGAUUUUGAUGGACAGAUGGAGGGAGGGAGGAAUGUUGAUAGACAGAUGGAUGGAGGGAGGGAUGUUGACGGACAGAUGGAGGGAGGGAUGUUAAUGGACUUAUAGAAGGGAUGAAGGGACGGCCAGUCCACCACCAAGCAAGGAUGAAACCCUAGAUGCAAAUCAGGCUCCGAGUCAACUUAUGGGAGUUCUUUGAUAAAAACACAUAUUCAUAAAAUGAGUCACAAAGGCCCUUGCAUUUUUCAUUUUCAAUCUGCAUUUGUAAACAUCUUUACUCAGCUUCACUUUGUACAGGGAGGUCUUCGAAAUUUUAAUUUCAAGCUCAAAACAUGAGGGCUGUUAUUCUGGCCCACUUUUUUUUUCUUGGAAAAGAUAGGAAGCUCUUCGCCAAAAGAAAAAUAAGUCACAAGCUUAAUAAAUAACGAAGCACAAAGCAAACCACUCAUGCUCAAUUUUUCAUACUUCUAUGAAUAUUUCAGGAAAUAAUAGAUGGCCUUAGAAGACUAUCAUAAGGCUGGCAGGGACCCGGAGCUGGGGACAGCCACCUUCUUCUCUCAACCCUCUUGAUGUCAUUUGUGUAAAAUUAAUGCAGGAGUUGGUUUCAUUUUCUAAUUCAUCGAGAAAGGAUAUUUCUAUUCACAAUGGCAUCUUCCAGUUACCCAUCCAAGACUUCGGUGGUGCGGGGCAGGGGAGCCCCCAGGUGGGGCUGAGCCCCGACGGUUCUUGGCUUUACCCUGGAGGGAAUUCAAGGGCAAGCCGCAGGUAGAAGGAAAGAGCUUUAUUCAGGCGGCCGUGCCACAGCUCACAGCUCCCUGACUGCUCCUGCAGCGGGGCCGCCCCGUAGGCAGAGAGCAGCCGCUUGGGGCAGUUUUGCAGUCACACUUAUACCGCUUUUAAUCGCAUGCAGAUUAAGGGGCGAUUUAUGCAGAAAUUUCUAGGGAAGGGGUAGUAACUUUUGGGUCAUUGAGUCAUUGCCAUAGAAGGGGGCGGUAACACCCGGGUGUUGCUAUGGCAACGGAAAACUGACAGGCACUCGGGUGGGCGAGGCUUAGGGAAAGCUGCUUCCGCGAGCCCUGCUUUAACUAGUCAAUCCGGUCCGGAGUCCAAGUACUGCCUCUGGAGUCGACUCCCACCUCAAACCUCACUCGAAUGAUGGCGUCCCAGUCCUCUCUCAGAAGACGUCCAUCAGCAACGUGAUUCUGUCCUCCCAGCCAAGCUGGCAGCUCCCGGAGCCCCUGCCCUAUCGCUGGUCUCCCGGGCUGUGCAGGCCCUGCAGGGACUGUGAGCCCUCCUCACGCGGAGGAAGCAGAGGGGGCUGGACCUGCCGGCCUGGCACAUGCACGUGGAGAGGCCGACUGUUGUGCACACUCACGCAGGCACACACACACUUGCUCACACACACACUGAACUCAUGCUCACACAUGCCUGUCAGGCUCACACUCACACUCGCUCAUCCGUGCACUGACACUCAUACACGGCCAGCGUCCUAAGGCGGAAGAGUGAAGGAGAAAGGCCUGCACUCCAAGGCUGGGCUGCAAGUGCAGCGGGGGUGAGGGGUGGGGGAUCGCCGGAGCAG
rnacentral:lncRNA from 1 species